AUUAUCAUGAAUAAGGAAAUAUAAUAAUAACUAAUUUAUUAUUGCCUUUAGGGCAUAUUUCCAACACUUCCCUCGCGCGUCGCACGUCCUGUGGCAGGGGCGAGGGGCCCAUUGGACAUAACCGCACCAAACCCUAGCCCCCCGUCCACAGCCAUCUGCUCCUUCUCAUAGCCGCCGCACCAUUCCUCCCUUUUGACCCCUCCUCCUUCCCGGAUCCCACCACGGCGGCGACCUGCAGGCAAAGGGCGACAGCGGCGGCGCUCAGUUAGAUCUGUAGGAGAGAGAAGAUGAGAGGGAGAGAGAGGAGGGAGAAAGAUAGGAAGAGGAGAGGAGGCACGGCGUCGGAUGGGAGAGUGGCCAACCCGGCUCACGUCAGCUGGGGCCGCACCCCUCCCCGAAGGGCGGCGAUGAUGGGGGGAUCCACCGGCGCAAUCCAGGCUCCCGACCAACGGACUCGCUGGGUCACCGCCCGUCCCGUGCGGCGGGGACAUCCAUGGCGGCGCGGGCUGGGGACCGAGCGGCGGGGCCCGUGAUGCGUUCCGGUCGAGGGAUUGGUCGGGCCGACGCGGGAUCUUAGCCGCCGUCGAUGGAUUUCUCGCAGCUUGGCUACCUGUUGCUUUGGAUCCGGUUUAGCAGCGGGCAAUGCUCAAGACAGAGUUGGGCGCACAUCAUAUAUAUAUAUAUAUACAUAUGUUGUCGUGUCUUAAUAAAUGGAGAUGAGCAGAAGUAGAGAUGAGAUAUCUAUCCGCCUGUCAUCCUUCCAAGACUUGGGUUUGUCAUCUCUGUCAGCGUCCGCCUCCACUUCCUUCGUUGGUUGUCGUUUCUUUGUACACUGCUGUACUUUAGAGAUCAUAAUAUAUUUUCCAUGGGUACAAUUGAAUACGACACCCAAUUUUCUAUAUAAUUGUUCAGCUCUCUCUCAUAGCGAUUCAUACAAAAUAUCAUGCAUAGUGGUCCCAGCUUAAGUAGAAUAUAACCAUUGGAUUGUUCAAACUUUGCUCGUGUUUCGCAGGGCACCAUAACUCUAAUCCGACAUGAGUAGUGCAACCACGACAGUGAGCAGUGGAACCGCAAGAUAGAGAUAGAUACAAGUAGAAUAUAACUGGUCAUAUUUCUAAAAUGAUCACACUACUUAUGGUGCCGGAAGAGAAGGCAUUAGUGAUAGUGGGCUUGGUGAUGAGGGCAUCAAUACGAAGAGAUUAAUUCACAACUUUGUUCUUGAUAGGUUGUACAAAUAUACAAGGUACUACUGUUUCCUUCUAUGUUUAAAUAGCUUUGUGAGUACAAUUAUAUGAAAAUUUUGCGAUUCAUGGUGCGGAAGCGGGCAUCUUUGUUUUCCUGACCAAAAAUACUUAGUUUCAUGCCUCCAUGGUAUAAUUUAGAGGCACAGUCCAAUGAGAGAUUCCUACUUAGCUAGCUAAUAUAUAACGUUUGACGGUACUGUCUUGUGUUGUAAAGACAAAAUAUGCUACAUGAGCAUUACUUUUAUUUUGAAUUUAAUUUUGUGUUUGAGCCUCUUUUACAUAUUAAGUGUAAUAUCACAGACUUUCUUCUUUCAGGGUUAACUGGCCAUGCAAAAACUGUUGUGAGGCAUUAAAUGGUACUCCCUCUGCAAACUAAUAUAAGAUCGUUUAGAUCACUAUUUUAGUAUUCUAAACACUCUUAUAUUAGUUUACGGGGGGAGUACUAUAUGUUUUUGGCUUGCUUUUGUUCACUUUUGUCCUUUCCAAAGUGGAAUAAGAAAAUAAAGUCAAAACAGGCUCAACCAUGACUACUCUGCUCUUGUGAUCACCAAUUUCUGCUCCAUUGCACACAAGAAAGUAGUGACUAUUUAUUUGCUUAAACAAUAUGUCCAGCGCUGCCUGUCCUGCUAAUAUUCCUUUAUGGAUGUAUCGCACAAAUUUCAGUUAUUGGAUAUGAAAUGUAGGUUCUCUACUCAGAGCUUGGUCCAAUGGUCAAUGCAGCUCUAUGUUGUGAUAUCCUAUUGGGAUCUUUUUUCGUUACUUAAAAUGGUCAGAUAUCUCUGAUGUUACAUUCGUGGUUGAUUGCUUAUAUCCAAAAUAACUAUGUUAGUACACUGAAGCCAAUUUCUACAUUGUUAGUGAAGUUGGCUAAAUUUAGUCCAACAUUUCUAGUAUGUAUCUUCUUCUGCUAUCAAUGUUAAUUCUGCCAUAAGCAUAUUACUCUCCUAGCAUUUUUUUCUUCCGAUGAAAAACAGACACUUGUUCAGUUUUUUACUACAUAGAAAAAGAUAAGUUCAAUUUGGUUUCUAAUGUUCAUGUCGGCCUUUGCCUAAGCAAAAAAAGGUAACCAGUUUAUAUUGUAAUCUUGUUUUUUGUUUCUCUUUGAUUCAACCUUUUUUUUGUGUGUUGUCUAACUGUUAGAUUGUCUGGAACAUCUCGGAACAACCUUUCGUGUCCCCGAUAUUAUCUCGUUUCCUGAACAAUAUUAUUUUAUUUGCUUUAUCUGCCACCAUGAAUUCCUAGAGUUCCUUUCUCUCCUUCCAAUUGACAUUCUUAGAUGUGAUUCUAUUAGAAAUUUUGUGCCAUGACAGAAGUAAUGGUUGAUUGCUCUGCUUUAGCCUUUAUGUCAGUUGUUGCUGAGGGUCCAAUUUCUCAUUUUUCAGAAUUUGUAGUAGCAGGGAUGUGUAUAAUAUGGAUAACUGAACUGGUGUUUAGGGGUUGCAGUGCAGGACAACUACUUGCUCGAUUAGUUAGAUCAACUGGUGUUUGGAGAUUUCAGUGCGAGUGAUGUUCCAGUUUCGAUUGCAGGGCUUCGAGAUGCACCAUGAGGAUUGAAACAAGUCUUAUAUAGGGCUGCUAAAUUAUUAUACUUUUGGUCUUUUCUAAAUUUAGUUAGCAUAAAUACUUCCAGAAUACCUCUUAUAAUAUGGAAGUCUGUUGGUAACAACACUAAUUUUUCCAGUUUGUGGAACAUGCUUCAUUUUUGCAGGUUCAAGAAGGAAGAGAACAUUGGAGAAAAAUGCAGCAGGACGGAUUCUCUAAGCUUUCUCAAAUGUUUGAACAAUUAGAAGAUAGUUACAAUCAUUUUUCUCUUGCCUUAUUACAUCUUGAUGUUAAUAGGCUUUGGAAGGUACUAUGCGCCCCGUUCAAGGUUUACAGAAUUUGCACCAUCCUAUUACAGUUUGUUCUGAUGACAUAAUUGACCAGUUCUUCCUUGAGUAAAUUAAUAUUGCGGCCGCUACUCCUUUGUGCAUUGUUACAUAGAGUUAUAUAAUUGUGAAGGUGUGUACACAUCAACAUAUAAUUCCCAUGAUCCUAUUACAGAUUGUUCUACAA